GAUGAACGCUGGCGGCGUGCCUAAUACAUGCAAGUCGAGCGAACGGACCAUACGCUUGCUUCUCUGUUGUUAGCCGCGGACGGGUGAGUAACACGUGGAUCCCCUACCUAUCAUUCUGAGAUCUCUUCGGGACACCGGCGCUUAUACCGUAUAAUCUUUUGCACCGCAUGGUUCAAAAGUGAAAGACGGUCUUGCUGUCACUUCUCGCUGCAUCCGGGCUGCAUUAGCUAGUUGUUAAGUUAACGGCUUACGAAGGCAACGAUGCAUAGACGAACUGAGAGGGUGAUAGGCCACAUGGGAACUGAGACACGGUCAAGAGGCCUAAGAGAGGCAGCAGUAGGGAAUCGGACGCAAUGGGCGAAAGCAUGACGGAGUAAGGCCGAGUGAGUGAUGAAGGUGUUGGGAGCGUAAAAAUCUGUUAUUAGGGAAGAACAGAUGUGGAAGGAACUGUGCACAGAGUGACGGUAACUAAUCAGAAAGCAACGGCUAACUACGUG
rnacentral:rRNA from 1 species